rnacentral:rRNA from 1 species
CCUACGGGAGGCAGCAGUGAGGAAUAUUGGUCAAUGGGGGAAACCCUGAUGCAGCGACGCCGCGUGAGUGAAGAAGUAUUUCGGUAUGUAAAGCUCUAUCAGCAGGGAAGAAAAUGACGGUACCUGAUUAAGAAGCCCCGGCUAACUACGUGCCAGCCGCCGCGGUAAUACGUAGGGGGCCAGCGUUAUCCGGAUUUACUGGGUGGAAAGGGAGCGUAGACGGCAGUACAAGUCUGGAGUGAAAUGCCGGGGCUUAACCCCGGAACUGCGUUGGAAACUGGGCAGCUAGAGUGCAGGAGGGGUAAGUGGAAUUCCGAGUGUAGCGGUGAAAUGCGUAGAUAUUAGGAGGAACACCAGUGGCGAAGGCGGCUUACUGGACUGUAACUGACGUUGAGGCUCGAAAGCGUGGGGAGCAAACAGGAUUAGAUACCCUUGUAGUC